UUUUUCCUACGGGGCGCAGCAGUAGGGAAUCUUCCACAAUAGGCGAAAGCCUGAUGGAGCAACGCCGCGUGGGUGAAGAAGGUCUUCGGAUCGUAAAACCCUGUUGUUAGAGAAGAAAGUGCGUGAGAGUAACUGUUCACGUUUCGACGGUAUCUAACCAGAAAGCCACGGCUAACUACGUGCCAGCAGCCGCGGUAAUACGUAGGUGGCAAGCGUUAUCCGGAUUUUUUGGGCGUAAAGGGAACGCAGGCGGUUUUUUAAGUC
rnacentral:rRNA from 1 species